UACGGGGGGGAGCAAGCGUUGUUCGGAUUUACUGGGCGUAAAGGGCGCGUAGGCGGUCGUGACAAGUCACUUGUGAAAUCUCCGGGCUUAACUCGGAACGGUCAAGUGAUACUGUCGGACUAGAGUACAGAAGGGGGCAACUGGAAUUCUCGGUGUAGCGGUGAAAUGCGUAGAUAUCGAGAGGAACACCUGCGGCGAAGGCGGGUUGCUGGGCUGAUACUGACGCUGGAGGCGCGAAAGCUAGGGGAGCGAACGGG
rnacentral:rRNA from 1 species